GCUAAUGUGCUUGGCGGGUCAGUGGAGAGGUGGCUAACGUGCUUGGCGCUUGGCGGGUCAAUGGAGAGGUGGCUGAAGUUACUGCGCGACAGUGGAGAGGUGGCUAGAGACCCUGCAGGUCAGUGGAGAGGUGGCUAACGUGUUUGGUGGGACAGUGGAGAGGUGGCUUGAAGUUCCCGCGCGACAGUGGUGAGGUGGCUAACGUGCUUGGCGGGUCAGUGAGGACGUGGCUGGAGUGCCUGAGGGUCAAUAGAGAGGUGGUUAACGUGCUUGGCGGGUGAGUGGAGAGGUGGCUUGAAGUUCCCGCGCGACAGUGGUGAGGUGGCUAACGUGCUUGGCGGGUCAGUGGAGACGUGGCUGGAGUGCCUGAGGGUCAAUAGAGAGGUGGUUAACGUGCUUGGCGGGUGAGUGGAGAGGUGGCUUGAAGUUCCCGCGCGACAGUGGUGAGGUGGCUAACGUGCUUGGCGGGUCAGUGAGGACGUGGCUGGAGUGCCUGAGGGUCAAUAGAGAGGUGGUUAACGUGCUUGGCGGGUGAGUGGAGAGGUGGCUUGAAGUUCCCGCGCGACAGUGGUGAGGUGGCUAACGUGCUUGGCGGGUCAGUGAGGACGUGGCUGGAGUGCCUGAGGGUCAAUAGAGAGGUGGUUAACGUGCUUGGCGGGUGAGUGGAGAGGUGGCUUGAAGUUCCUGCGCGACAGUGGUGAGGUGGCUACGUGCUUGGCGGGUCAGUGGAGAGAUGGCUGGCUAACGUGCUUGGCGGUAAUGCUGAAGAACUGCUGUUGUGAUGACUAUUUUCAUCGGCAAUGUCAUAUUAGACGCUCAGCUGUGGGAUGGCAAGAUGGCUCGGAGGGUGAAGGCACUUGCUGCCCAGCCUGAUGAUCUGAGAUUGAACUCCAGGACCCACAAGAUAAGGUAGACGAACCAGCUCCCAUUGUUGUCUGAUCACCAUGUGAAUGAAUGACUAGUCGCAGGAACAUGCAUGCGCACACAUACACACACUCAUACACAGUAGCUCUUAAAAAAGACCUUAAGAACUCGGCGGACGCAAAACCCUUCACGCUAGAGAAAGCUAUUUUCUUAUUCGGCACAUCUCUCCUUGAAGUGUACACUUAAAGGAAUGAUUAGAUCCUGGCAUACAUAUUUUAAAAUGUAAAGUGGGGAAACAGCUCUCUAACUUCCCACUUUAUGGUGGUUUAUUUCAAGCCACUUCAAAUUACUGCCAGAAUUUAAUGGUGGAUAGAAUAAAUUAAAUGUGGCUUAUAAUUUUCGAAGGCGACUUGACAUGUUCUCGAAUUUAAUUCUUCCACAGCCACCUUUUAAAAACAAGUAGGGGCUGGUGAACAAUGUCAGACAAAAUAUAAAGAUUAGGUCGUCUUCCUAAAAAUUAAUCAUACUAAAGGCCACACAAAGAUUGAUUUUUGACUUUUUAAGCUUGCAGAACAGACCAAGCAAAGACGCUUGUCUUAAACAUUCUGCAGUAUUGCAGUGCUCUAUCUAUGCACAGACUCACCGCCCUCAGCACACUGACCACUUAGUCAUCAGCUAUAAUACAAACGGCUAUUUUUACUUGAGAAAAGCUAAUGAUCACACACAAUCAAUCCACCUUGCAACUCAAAUGCCUUUCUUAAAAUGUAAAGCUAUCAAUAACUUUUCUGGCAGUUGGUACUGUACAAUAGCAAGCAGCAAUAUACAAAAGCCGAGUUUAAAGUUUCUUAAGCUCCUGGAGGAAGAAUGGAGAGAAAAGUGCUAAACUUCUUUCUGUGGGAGACAAUUUUUCUGUUGAUACUAUAUAAGGAAAGCCCCAAAUAAAAGGUGGCGAUCCAACUCCCAGAGCACCUUGCCUCAAAUAUUUUGCACAAUAAAGCAUUAAUAAUGGUAGGCAAGACUGGUUCCUGGCCCUAGAAUGUGCCAGCGAUUGGAAUUGGAGUAAUUUUAGAAAUGCAAGUUAAAGAAGGCUCAUCCACCUAGUUUUGGCCUGCUUUUGCUAUUCGGUGUAUAAAUAAAUACGUGCAAGUUUAUUAAUAGAAAAUAGGGUGUUUUGGGCAAUUAACAUCACCCAGAAUAAUGCAAGAACUGGAAGUGUCUCUGUUCAAUGGGACCAAGGAGAAUGCAACUGAAGCAUUGCAGCCAUAUGAAGGGAGUAAACUGAUGGCUUCUGGGGGUGUUGACUUUAAGUCAAGAGAAGGGCUUUACUCAGUCAAUACGGUGUAAACAAAGAGGCCAAAGGGAUGAUGGAGUGAUGGGCUCGGGAAAGGGCACAAACUCUUCCUUAAUGAUGGGUUUCUGAGAAUUAGUAGUCCAGAAGAGUGGUUCAUGGACAAGCUAGGGGCCGGGCAAAAGGAAGACAAUAUAAAGUGUGAGGUUGUGACUAUUUACAAUUUUAUUUAGUAAAGCAGUGCAAAAAAAAAGGGUCCAAAUAUGGGUCACUGUCGGGUGUACGUACUGUUGUGUUGUAUUUUACUUUAUUAUAUCAAUGGGAAAGUAGAGAAGGGGGUUUGCUCAACAAGUCAGAGUAGAAAAUACCACCAAGAACUGCCAUUGUGCCUAUUAUAGUCCCGAAAUAAGUUUAAGGAAGAAAAAGCAAGCCAUUCAUCAGUCACUGUGCUCAUGGACAGACAGUCUCGGGUGUCUUAGGUGGCUCAGCAAGGUCUGAAUAAUAAAGGGGGCUUGUGAGGACAUCUGAUUCUAGGCACGCAGUCAUAAAUUAUUCACACUAACAAUCAUGGAGCUUGGUUAGUAGCCUUGAUGGUAUGGAAGGACAGCACAGAGGUCCUUGACACUUUUGCUCAGUAAUCAUCCAAAUGCUGAGGUUAUAGUUACACUCAGCAGCCCCAGUCAACAGGUAGGCAUUUCAGAUCCUUUUCUGCCAUACAGGUCCAUGAUGUGAAAGGGGACAUAUUGACAUUGUCAAGAGAAGUGCUCAGAAGUAACCAGCGUGCCUCUGGGGUCAAAGGAGUGCAAGGAUGUAGCAUCCUACUCCAAACGUAGUGCUGGACAAUGGCAUUAACGCACUUUGAAGUCCAAGUAAAGAGCACUUCGUGGAGCCCCCUUUCUGCUUUAAAGCGGGGAAGAGGGUACAGUAGUUCUCACAGAAGUGCUUAGACAUCGUUCGUGUGAACGUUCCAAAUGACAAGUCUUGAGCAGAGACACCACCUGCUGAAGGUGGUGGUGUGAGCGGGAUCCUUGUCCAGUGCACAGAGCAGGAGGCAGUGCAUAUGCAGACAUAACCUAUGAUGACAGUCCGCAGCCUUGCUUGAUCAGUAGACCCUGAUAUACUGCAAAUGAAAGGUGAAGGGCUCACCCUUGUCUACUGGCAAAGACAAAGGAAAAUUCGCUGUAUAUUAAUGGUCCACUAGCGGGAACCUUGGGGGGAUAAAAAGUAUAGUAUCCCUUGCAGUAGUGCAAAAGAGAUACAGUGGUCCUGAAAGUUAAUAAGGUUGUGGACAACUGUGAUUUUACACAUUAAGUGCCCAAGUAUUUUUAUUAAAAUGAAUUGAUCAUGUCCCUGUCAUGUAUAUUAAUGUUCAAGGGACAUCGUGUAAUCAAUUAAAACCACACCCUUUAUGCAGAUAUUAAGUCCUUAAAGUAAUAGACAGUCCUGGAAAUUAAAGAAUGGAAAGGAAGGGGAUAUCCUUACCCAGUGUCCAGGAAGAUGAAGAAGCCAUAAGAUUAGUAACCCUUGCUGUACCGCAAAAGGGUUUGAGAGUAGGAUCAUAUCCAAACUGAAUGAGCCGGGUGCAGUUAACGCACACUAAUAUGCAAGGCUCAUGCUUGUGGCCAUGACAGUUUUGCACUUUUGCUGUUCAAACAUAAGGGUCUUUGACAAUGCGCAUUCCCUGCUGAAAGGGAAAGGCACAAGACAUAAAGGCAGAGAGUGAUUUCCUUCUGUAGUAAACAGAAAAGGACCACUACAAUCAGUCAUUAUUAGCAAGCCACAAAAGGGGACCUUAUAGGUCAACACCACUUCUGUACUUCAACGUGAGUGCCAAACUGAUCCUACUAAAAUUGCCAGUAUGUACACAAGCAGUUUGAGAAAGGGGUUUCAAGUGAACAGCACACAGUUCCAUAAAGCCAAGAGGAUAUGAAUGAUCAGAGACAGAAGUCUUACCUUGAAGGACCAUUGACAGUAUUGCAAUCGUUUCAAUCUGUGGUCUCAUGAAAGAGGCUUUAUAUUAGCGAGCCCUUUCACUUUGAUAAGUCCAGGAGUCCUGAUCUAAAAGGCUCAGCUGUGGACAUGAGAAUAUGUACAAGACAGUGAACACAAGCACAUUUACUAUGUUAAGGAUCUUAAGGACUGAGCCCCUCCUGCCAUAAUACAAGUAAGGUAAGGUCUUUACCAGACUCAGAUUACUACAGCGAAAUGAAGUAUGCACGUCAAAGACUCCAUGGCAUAGUGGUAGAAAUCGGUUAUGCCAACACUUAUGAAGCACAGGCUAGAUCCUGAGCUCAAGGCCAGCCUGGGAUCUAUAUAUAUAUUAAGUUCUGGGCUAGCCUGAGAAUUAAAAACAGAACAGAUUGAUCUGGGUUCAAAGGUCUUGAAUACAAAUGAAAUGACUUAGUUUGGUUUCCUUUAUCCAGUGCUUGGGAAGAGGGACAAAUGCAGCUCUGCGCACAGAAACAGGCACAUAUGUUUACAUUACAGGUGGCAAUGCCCGAAAUUCCCGUAACUGGGACUGAGAAGCAGGAGGAUUGAGUACCUGCCCAGCCCAGGAUACGUAAGAGACUAUUCUCUCAAACCACCACAUGGUGGAGCUGUAGCUCUAUGACAAAGUGCUUUACUAGCAUGCCCAAGACUCUAGGUUUGAUCCCCAGUACAGCAAAAAAGACCAGAACAGAGAAGUGGUCUUAUUGAUUGGCACCCUUUAUUGUCACCCAUUAGGGUAUGAGGGUAUGGGAUCUUGGUUAGUAACAGAAGGAACUUGAGCAACGGCAGUUUUGCACAAUUGUAUAAGAGGCUUCAGGUAAUCAGCAACACUCUUGACAUAAAGCAGAGGUAGUAUUAGGACCUUGAAAAAAGAUUCAGGAUCAUCCAUAAAUAUAUCCAUCUGUCCCAGGGCAGAAGUUUUUAACCGAAAUAAGGAGAGCCUAUGGGACUAGUAUACAAUAUCAUGAACAAAUGAAUGUAUUCCAUCAGUUAAAAAGAUGUGACUGGGGACAGCACCCGUGCCAGCAUUCAAACAGUAAGUAUAUAGUACGCCCUUUAAUGGCCAAUGCCUUGGGAAUUGGGACUGAGCACCUUUACUGUCCGAUAUCAGACCUGUGUUUGCCCCUUUGUUAAAUGCACGUGGGGCUGGACUAGCUAGGGUCUAAUCCAAUGGAUAAAUUAUGGGCACAGAAUCAUGCACUGCAUAGAGUGCUCAAGACGUGAGAAAAGACAACUGAGCACUGCUCAGAGACUUGGGACUGGGACUAUUGCAGCAAUGACAGAAUGGUUUUUCCUUAAGGAAAGGAGGCUUGAGAGAUGAUAACCUCCAUGGCAAGUCUCUGAUAUAAAACUCUUGUUCACUUGGUGUAUCUUGAUUAACAUGAGGGACAAGAGUUCUUUGUUACACUGAGUCCAUGGGCAAGUAAAGUAGCACUGUGUGCAAAGUGAACUCGUGACUUAGGAAGUCAGUGUGGGGGGUAUAUAGGACCUCAGUCUUGUAGGCUGAGUAGUGGACAUUGCACUUUAGCACUAGGACUGUGCAAAGUGAAUUUGUGAUCUAGGAAAUCAGUAUGGAGGGGGUAUUAGGAUCUCAGUCUUGUAGGCUGAGUAGUGGACAUUGCAUUUUAGCACCAGGACUGUGCAAAGUGAACUUGUGAUCUAGGAAGUCAGCAUGGGUUGGGGUGUGUGUGUAUAAGAUCUCAGUUUUAUAGGCUGAGUAGUGGACAUUGCACUUUAGCACCAGGACUGUGCAAAGUGAAUUUGUGAUCUAGGAAGUCAGCAUGGGGUAUAUAGGAUCUCAGUCUUAUAGGCUGAGUAAUGGGCAUUGCAUUUUAGCAUUAGGACUGUGCAAAGUAAAUUUGUGAUCCAGGAAGUAGUAUGGAGGGGGUAUAUAAGAUCUCAGUCUUGUAGGCUGAGUAGUGGGCACUGCAUUUUAGCACCAGGACUGGGUGCAAAGUGAACUUGUGAUCUAGGAAGUCAGCAUGGGGUAUAUAGGACCUCAGUCUUGUAGGCUGAGUAAUGGGCAUUGCAUUUUAGCACCAGGACUGUGUGCAAAGUGAACUUGUGAUCUAGGAGUCAGCAUGGGUGGGGGGGGGGUGUAUAGGACCUCAAUCUUGUAGGCUGAGUAGUGGGCAUUGCAUUUUAGCACUAGGACUGUGUGCAAAGUGAACUUGUGACUUAGGAAGUCAGCAUGGAGCGGGGGAUAUAGGAUCUCAGUCUUGUAGGCUGAGUAGUGGGCACUGCAUUCAGCACUAGGACUGUGCAAAGUAAAUUUGUGAUCCAGGAAGUCAGUAUGGAGGGGAUAUAAGAUCUCAGUCUUGUAGGCUGAGUAGUGGACAUUGCACUUUAGCACCAGGACUGUGCAAAGUGAAUUUGUGAUCUAGGAAGUCAGCAUGGGGGGUAUAUAGGAUCUCAGUCUUAUAGGCUGAGUAAUGGGCAUUGCAUUUUAGCAUUAGGACUGUGCAAAGUAAAUUUGUGAUCCAGGAAGUCAGUAUGGAGGGGAUAUAAGAUCUCAGUCUUGUAGGCUGAGUAGUGGGCACUGCACUUUAGCACCAGGACUGUGCAAAGUGAAUGUGAUCUAGGAAGUCAGUAUGGAGGGGGUAUAUAAGAUCUCAGUCUUAUAGGCUGAGUAGUGGGCAUUGCAUUUUAGCACUAGGACUGUGUGCAAAGUGAACUUGUGACUUAGGAAGUCAGCAUGGAGCGGGGGAUAUAGGAUCUCAGUCUUGUAGGCUGAGUAGUGGGCACUGCAUUCAGCACUAGGACUGUGCAAAGUGAAUUUGUGAUCCAGGAAGUCAGUAUGGAGGGGAUAUAAGAUCUCAGUCUUGUAGGCUGAGUAGUGGACAUUGCACUUUAGCACCAGGACUGUGUGCAAAGUGAACUCGUGACUCAUGGACGGGGUAUAGAUGGAUAUCUCAGUCUUAUAGGCUGAGUAAUGGGCACUGAAUUUUAGCAUUGAAUCAAUGAAGAUUGGAAUUUCUUUAGGCAGAAGUGGACUGGGGAUAGGUCUGAAAGAAUCUGGGCGUGGGACUAGGAUUGGGUUGGGGCAGGGCAGGGCAGGGGUUGGGCUGGGUUGGGUGGGGACCGGGCCUGGGGCUGGGGUUGGGACUGGGCCUGGGGCUGGGGCUGGGGCUGGGGCUGGGGCUGGGGCUGGGGCAGCAAUAUACUAAGUCUGAGGAACUGGAUGCCAUAAAGGCAAGAAAACACAGAAAAUUGAAAUGUGGGCAUUAAAAUUACUAUUACAAUAGUGAGUCUGAUAGAGGACAUAGAGCACUACAUUUUAAGGUUCUUGCUGACAAGCCAUUAGUCAAUAUAGUAUCAAAGAUAGCAACAAAAGCAAAGCCUGAACUGGUAUAGAGCUUCAAAUACUCCUUCUGAUAUCCAAUCAUAAAGUUAACUUUAACUUUAACAUUAUCUGUCAUGUGACUCAAAAAUUCUGAGUAGUUCACUAGUCAAAGAAAGCACAUUUAAGUGCCGAGUAACUUCAGUAUCAUCUGCCAAAAAAAUUAAUGAAAACUUUAAGGACUCCAAAGUAACAGAUCAUUAAAGGCAGUUAAAAUGAUUUCUAUAAGUAAGCAAAGCUCCUAAAUGCAUUUUUAAAUAAUCACUUCAGCCUUAAAUCCAAGCACUAGCAAACCACGGUAUCAGAUGUAUCUUUGACAUCCAAAGCAUUCAUGUAAAUCAAAAUCCAACCCCAGCAAUAGUAAUGGGGUGGAUUCUAGAAGAAGGGAGGAUUCUACCUCCUGGCCAGUGAUUUGUGAUCUACUGUGACUCUGGCCAAGGUCACCACUAUGCCCACAGUAAACUCGGAGAACCGCUUGAGAUCACAGUGCUGGCUAAGUCAGAGGCCGAGGAUUAAGUAGACUAGUCUUAGGCCACUGAACCAACAAUACAAAAGAAUGGGGUGAGGCGUAGCUUGCACCGCGAUGUAUAGAGCACUGUAAAAGACUAUCUUAGACAAAUAGGAAAGCAAGCGGAGGGGUCAAAUGUCCUCGCAAUGGCCUUAGAUUCUUUUCUUUCUUUUAACAGGUGAGAUUUCAAUGAUUCACAUCGACCUCGGGAACCCGCAACCUCAGUCUCUCGUAUCGGAUCAGAUGUCACUCAACACCUCAAUGUUAGAAUUGCAAGCAUGUGCGCUCCCACCUGGGUAGGCACUUCGAAAUAACGGUGACUGAACACAGAUGUGAGGUACCAAGCUAACUCACGUCCUUAUGGGACAGUGAGUCAGUCUAAUUCCAUCCUCUCCACCAAGCAAUAAUGCACAUUUCUGACUGCUUACGUCAAGCGGACACCAACACUUCGCAAAGUCGUGCCUAUUUCUGACGAGUUAAGUCAGGCGGCAACCAACACUUCCAACUAGCCUUUUCCUCAGCUUCGAGUGACACAAGGUAGAACCAACCACUCGCUACCAUAAUGCACCAAUUCUACCCUUGGGCAAAUCCCGCCAAGUGGCCAGAGCCCGCCAAAAAUGUACCAAAGGAAACCCCUUGAGGGCUGAUCACAUGACAACCGCCAUCUUAGACAAACUCAAGAGCAUGUGCCACUUUGUCCCUAAACUGACUCAGCCAUGAAGCUGACAUGUGAAACACAAAGCCCUCCGCCUUAUACUGCAGCAAGAGCUUGAGCCGCCAUCUUUUCUUGUAUGACCUAAAUGCCCUAUCUCCAUUGCUACAUGUUAGAGCCAACGUAGGGCUGUCGAGCUUCGGGUGCGGUACCCGAGCCGCCAUUUUGUAGACAUCUAAGCAGCCCUUAGAGCUACGGGGGGCCCCGCCAGGGGUCCAAAUGCACAUGCGGAACCCUAUCCCCUAGUCCUCUGCGGCUUCCACCCAACACCGCACACGAACAUUAGCGCUCCUUGGCUUUCUACUUCUGAAUAGCACAAUUCCUCCAAACGCUGCCACAAAUCAAGUCCAAACCCGCACAUAUAAAGAAAGCCUUUAGCUAGCGCAGCGCACAUGGUUGGCUUCUAUCCAGUUCCCUGCGCUCCUCGGCGUCCUAAUUCUUGCGUAACUGGCUCGAGAAUAUCUGUGUCACGCAGAAACCGUAAGAUGGCGGACACGGGUUCUCCACGCCCUGAACACCCACUAGGCUUAAUCGCCAAGUCGUUUUUCUAAGCCAUAGGUUCACUCACACAGCCAAACGAUCAGCACCAACAGCAAACGGAAAUAAAAAGGCAUAGAUAUAUUCCAGGUAGUUCAAUAACUCACAAAACCAUUAUUUCCAUCCACCAAAUGCCCCGAUGGGCCGUGAAAAAAAAAAUUAAAGCAGGUAUCCACAGCCCCGAUGGGCAAAAGGAAAAGAAAAAAAAAUUAAAGCAGGUAUCCGAGGCCCCGUUGGGCAUGGGAAAAAAACUAAACGCAGGUAUCCGAGGUCCCGAUGGACCGAGAAAUACGGCGUUUUUUGGUAAAAAGCAGGUAUCCAUGGCCCCGAUGGGCUAAGGAGAAGAAGAAAAAAAGAAUAAAAGCAGGUAUCCACAACCCAGAUGGGCAAGUUUAGAAGAAGAAAAGUAAGAAGAAGAAAAAAGGAUUAAAAGGCAGGUUAAGUAUCCCAAGCCCAGCUGGACAUGGAAUGGCUGGGAGGACACACAGGUAUCCGUGGCCCCGAUGGGCAAAAAAAAUGUAAAAACAGUUAAAGAAAGAAAGGUAAGUCCACCACACACAGCUGUCAACUAAAAUGCACGACAGACAAAUACUCCUUAGAAAUGAAAAAUAGACCAAAAAUAUUACAAAUAUCAAAAAAUAUGGAGGACGUGUCAAGAAAACCUUACGAGAACAUAUCAAAACAUCAAAAAUCUUAUGUAAUUUUGAUAUGUUUUCUUAAAUACACCAUAAGGCAUGGUGGUAGGGGGAUUAAAAAUGUUCCCCAAAAGCCCUUUAGAUGGAGAGAAACCACGGAGGAAACCUCACAUCCACGGGAGACGAGCAAAUAUGGCUGCAGCAAGCAGUUGCUCGCCUUUAACUGACUGGCGCGCUGAAGGCGGAGAGACCAGAAGAGGAGUGGCCACAAAGAUUGGAAGUCUGACAUCUUAUUGGACCUUUAGUUCCAACUAUAUUCUUAAAAAUGAACAUAAAUAAAGAUGGUGGUACGUAAGCUCAGUGACAGAACUCGCGAUUUCCAUUAUUUUAUAUGGUAAUGAAAGAUUAUCCUAUUUUACAGCUUUUGCACACUAUCCAUAAACGUUAAAUAAUGUACACUAGGUCACACACCAUGUCUAUGCAAAUUUUCAACAUAUCUUCUACUUGGACAUCCGGCCUUGUAUCGCUCCGCGUCUUGGAGACAAGAAAAAGUUCCCAUGAAUUAGGUGGUAAGCUCAAUCCAGGACAGGAAAGGGUGGGAAUGUCUCACAAAAUGGCUCCGUGAUUCCUAAAUUAUCAGAGUACUGGUUGUGACCUAUUUGCGGGACUUACGCUUGGAAUUUUGCGUCUUGGAUUUUUACGUCUUGAAUUUUACGCUUGGAAUUUUGCGCUUGGUCAUUUUAGUCUUUCAUCCAGUUUCCAGGAAACUGAUGGCUCCAAACUUUGAGAAAAAAAUGAACUGAAGAACGUUACUCGCUAGCAGUAAUGGAAUAUAAUGCCUAAAUGCCAAAGCCAAGCUUGAAGGAAUAAUAGCUCAGUGGUACUGUACUUAACCCCAGAGAAACUGUCAACUUAGAGAGCUGUCAAAUUUUCUUAACUGACAGACAAUGAAUACCCACAUGAAAGAGACCACUAGGUAUUAGAAAAUCAAAGGUUGUCCUGCUGAUUCACGCUGACAAAUAACUCCCACCCUACUCUAAGUUCUCUUUAGGCGUCCGAUGAAUAAUAAAGGACACAAAAUUCCUUUGGUUCUGGACCAUCAAAGUACCUGCAAUUCACUAAUCUUACUGUUGGGGUGGUUGAGGUAGGGAUGGAAAGUGGGCUACAGAAUAAGGAAACUCUGUUUCAACAAAAGAAAAAGAAACUUAGAAUAAAAUAAUAAUACACAAAGACUAAAUAAACCAGCAGGUGGCAGCAUGAAUCUUUCCAAAACAUUUGAAGUCAAACUUGGAGUGUAGAAGGAUUCCGAUCUGAAUUGAAAGCCGAAAGUUGGUCUAACUUUGGUAUCAGAAGAAAGGGCAAAAGAAAGACAUUCAGUUUACUAUCAUUGAAAGAGACCAUCUUGUCAGAGUGCCUUGCUCCAAGGUAAUAAUGCUAGUACAAAAUUUGGUAGAGCAAUCAGGAUCGAAGUAACAGGCACAUGGGAACUUUCCAAAAGCAUUACCAGUGAAAGACAGACAUGUGACAGAAAAAAGACCCAAGGACCGGCUUUUCACAGCUAAGAGCAGCUGUCAUCACAAUGUACAUGGUUUUGUAUAAACAAGACCUUCUAAAUGAGGUAACAACUACCUUUGAACUUGUGAGGUACUGGUCAGAUUAUGCAAGCCAGUGCAACAUUUUGUGGGGAUGUGAGAGAGAAUCAUCAAAUAAAAGAGUUGAAUUUACUCUA